rnacentral:lncRNA from 1 species
GCUCUCCCACGUGUUCAAGAUGUUUGUGGUGCUUUUUCUCUUUCUCAUAAUCUUCACCAGUUUUGCCUUCAUCAGUAGUCUCUUCAAAAUUAGUGGUCUCAGAUGAGUAGGCAGCUCCUUUUCCAUAGGUAUCUCCUUCACCAUAAUUAGUUUUCUCUCCAUAGGUAGUUUCAGAUGGAACAUCUCCAUAGCCACUCUUGUUUUCAUAGCCACUCUCUCCAUAACUAGUCUUAUUUUCAUAGCCACUAUCUCCAUAGCCACUCUUGUUUUCAUAGCCACUAUCUCCAUAGCCACUCUUGUUUUCAUAGCCACUAUCUCCAUAACCAGUCUUAUUUUCAUAGCCACUAUCUCCAUCGCUAGUCUUAUUUUCAUAGCCACUAUCUCCAUAGUUACCUCCCUCACCAUAACUAGUUUUCUCUACAUAUCCACUUUCUCCAUAGUCAGUUUUCUCACCAUAUUUGUUAUCCCCAUAGUUAUCUCCCCCACCAUAACUAGUUUUCUCACCAUAU